UACGGAGGAUCCGAGCGUUAUCCGGAUUUAUUGGGUUUAAAGGGAGCGUAGGCGGAUUAUUAAGUCAGUUGUGAAAGUUUGCGGCUCAACCGUAAAAUUGCAGUUGAUACUGGUAGUCUUGAGUGCAGCAGAGGUAGGCGGAAUUCGUGGUGUAGCGGUGAAAUGCUUAGAUAUCACGAAGAACUCCGAUUGCGAAGGCAGCUUACUGGACUGUAACUGACGCUGAUGCUCGAAAGUGUGGGUAUCAAACAGG
rnacentral:rRNA from 2 species